rnacentral:rRNA from 1 species
GAUGAACGCUAGCGACAGGCUUAACACAUGCAAGUCGAGGGGCAGCACGGGAGUAGCAAUACAACUGGUGGCGACCGGCGCACGGGCGAGCAACGCGUAUGCAACCUACCUAUCAGAGGGGAAUAACCCGGCGAAAGUCGGACUAAUACCGCAUAAAACAGGGGCACCGCAUGGUGAUAUUUGUUAAAGAAAUUCGCUGAUAGAUGGGCAUGCGUUCCAUUAGGUAGUUGGUGAGGUAACGGCUCACCAAGCCGACGAUGGAUAGGGGAACUGAGAGGUUGGUCCCCCACACUGGUACUGAGACACGGACCAGACUCCUACGGGAGGCAGCAGUGAGGAAUAUUGGUCAAUGGGCGGGAGCCUGAACCAGCCAAGUCGCGUGAAGGAAGAAGGAUCUAUGGUUCGUAAACUUCUUUUGCAGGGGAAUAAAGUUCAGGACGUGUCCUGUUUUGUAUGUACCCUGAGAAUAAGGAUCGGCUAACUCCGUGCCAGCCGCCGCAGUAACAC